AGAACGAACGCUGGCGGCAUGCCUAACACAUGCAAGUCGAACGAGACCUUCGGGUCUAGUGGCGCACGGGUGCGUAACGCGUGGGAAUCUGCCCUUAGGUACGGAAUAACAGUGAGAAAUUACUGCUAAUACCGUAUGAUGUCUUCGGACCAAAGAUUUAUCGCCUAGGGAUGAGCCCGCGUUGGAUUAGCUAGUUGGUGGGGUAAAAGCCUACCAAGGCGACGAUCCAUAGCUGGUCUGAGAGGAUGAUCAGCCACACUGGGACUGAGACACGGCCCAGACUCCUACGGGAGGCAGCAGCAAGGAAUUUUCCGCAAUGGGCGCAAGCCUGACGGAGCAACGCCGCGUGAAGGACGACGGCCUUCGGGUUGUAAACUUCUUUUGGGUGGGACGAUAGUGACGGUACCAUCCGAAUAACGCCCGGACUAACUCCGUGCCAGCAGCCGC
rnacentral:rRNA from 1 species